rnacentral:pre_miRNA from 1 species
AGUGGAAUUGCUGGGUCAUAUGGUAACUGUUUAACCUUUUGAAGAACUGCCAAACUGUUUUCCAAAGUGGCGGCACCAUUUUACAUUCCCACCAGCAGU